GACAGAGGUCUCGAGCGUUAGGCGGAAUCACUGGGCUUAAAGCGUGUGUAGGCGGAUGCCUAAGUACCUUGUGAAAUCCCACGGCUUAACCGUGGAACUGCUUGGUAUACUGGGUGUCUUGAGCCAGCUAGGGGCUACCGGAACAAAUGGUGGAGAGGUGAAAUGCGUAGAUAUCAUUUGGAACACCAAUGGUGAAAACAGGUAGCUGGGGCUGUGCUGACGCUGAGACACGAAAGCCAGGGGAGCGAACGGG
rnacentral:rRNA from 1 species